UCUGUAGCUCAGUUGGUAGAGCAGGGGACUGAAAAUCCCCGUGUCGUUGGUUCGAUUCCGAUCGGA
rnacentral:tRNA from 3 species